CGAUUUUGUAAUAGGUAAACGGUAUACCUAUUACCUAACCAUAAAUCUUAAUUUAUUAAAACUAGUAAACAUUGAUUUGCAUAAUGUAACAAUAUUUUUAUGAUUGUCUAUUUAUUUUUAUUUUUUUGAGAUUUUACUUUGUAAAUGCUUAUUUAGAGUUAAAAUUAAUUGUUGGUUUUUACAUAAGUACCUACAAAACAAAAACCUUUGAAUGAAUAAAAAAAAAUGAAUUUUUUUUACAUUUUCUCAAACAAAAACAUUGACACAAGAAUUUUAUUAAAUUAACGACUAAAUAAUUAGUAUUUUAGCAAUCAGCUUAUGAACAUUUGUGCAACACCAUCCACAGUAUCAUCACAUACUUCACAAUUGUAUGGAAGUGAGAUUGUACAAUCCAUGCACCUCCAUCCAUGUCCACAAUAUAGGUACACAUACCUUGAGCCAUUUUGGGCGUCCCUAUAAGCCCUCCCACAACAAAUGCAGUUACUGCCUGUCGGGUCUAAAAGGCUGUUAAUGUUGCGUAUCCAUGAGUCUAUUGCAAAAAGGUUCUUGGAUAUUCUGCCCUGCAGACGGGACAUUUGGACAAUCGCCGAGCACACACAUCACAACACCACCCGUGUCCACAUGGCAGAACAAUAUUUAUACCUACAACGACAGCUCUGCGUUGCCAACAAACAAAACAACGAUCAUAUUCCUCGCCUGCUUAAGUAUAAAAUAAGUUAUAGUUAAUGUAAUAUUUUUAUUUUUUAUAUUAUUACUUAAUUAGUAUUAAUAAUAGUUAAUAAUAUUUUGUUUAAACUAAUAACAAUUUUUACAUUAGGAAUAUAAUGUACAUAAGACGUGUAACCUAGUAUUUGUGGUAAUGUCUGAUCCUCCAAAUUGAUGAUGUUCAAUUCUUCAGCAUCUGUUCCAACCACCACGAUCUCAAAAUUUUCAUCCUCUUAGAAUACAACUGUAAGUGCUUCAACUACUUCAAAAUGCACAACUACAGAAAAAGAUAAAUAUUAAAUCUGCUUCAUUAUAAUUUAUAUUAUUUGUAAACAUUAAUAUAAUUUGUACCUUCGAUUUCUGGUUCCGGUAGAACUUCCAUUAUGUUGUCUAUAAACAAAUUUAACAUUUUAAACAUAUCUAUAAAAUUGUUUAAUUUAUCUUAAAAUUUCAGCCAUACAAACCUUCCAUUGCUUCUUCAUUUAAUCUCUGAUGAGGAGGGAGCCUUCUGCUAGUAUUGGGACGUCCUCGGCGUCUCUGGCCUCUUGCUGCAUGUAAAACAGGGGGUCGAACAGCAGAUUGUACCCGGGCUUGAUGUUUGCCCCUUCCAGCACCACGCAUUAUACGUCCUGACUGGCAUUGUGGUGGUUGAAGAGGUCUAAGUACCAAUGCAUUUGGUGGUUGAAGAGGUCUAAGUACCAAUGCAUUUGGUGGUUGAUCAUUUAAUUGCUCAUCUAUUUUUUAUUAUUUAUAAUUGUUUAGUAAAAAUUAAAUUAAUAAAAACAAGAUAAAUUUACCCGUUGGUAAAUGGCCAAUUUGUUGAUCCCAGUAACCACUUGCAGAGUGAGCAACUCGUCGAAGGAAUGCUGAAAUGUCGUAUCGGCCAUUUCUGACAUUUUGAAGUGCAGCAGUUAGUAAUUGGUUAUUGGUGUCUCUACUUGUUAAUAUUGCUCUCCGAACCUACAAUAACAUUGGAAAUAACUACAUUGGUAGUCUUAUUUGAGUACCAUAGAAGGUCCAAAUCGGUGGAUGUCUGCCAAUUGUUGUCUGAAUGGUGCUAUGGAAGCUUUCAAUAUAAUUAUUGGUUCUGAUAUUGACACCAUAUACAGAGAAACCAUGUGGUCCAAUUGUAUUCAUCCAAUAAUUCUGGAAGUAGUGGAAAAGCUCUGUGAUAUUUUCAGCUACAUUCAUGUCCCUGGCUAACCUUUGUACUUCCAAGAACCCACCAAGAAUAUGGAAAUUUUCGGGGUAAUCUUCAAUUCUCUCUGGUGGCAGGUGUGGCAAUGCCAUGAUCUAUUGAAGUACAUGAAUGGUAACCAAUUGUUCCAUGUCUCCUGGAAUUCUUGGAAGCACAGCAAAUGUUCCAUCAAUAGCUAUUACUGAUGAUCGCCUCAUGUAUGGUGAAUAAUUUUGUAAAAAUACAAUAUUGGCAAAAACCAAUCCACCAAACACAGUUUCUUCACCAACUAGGUACUCUAGAGGGCCUUGAUAGAAUGGACUGGUCAUGUUGUCAUCAAAUAGUGACAUUAAACCCCGCCAUCUCUGAGAUACAAUCGUAUCGCCCAUUACUGCUAAUGAAGCUGGUACUGGGGGGUUGUAUCUUUUUCGGAUACUCCGCAUCAUAUUUAAUGCAGAAUCCACGGUAGUGAGCAUUGCUGCAUUUGGGUAUCUGCCAAUAUUAUUGAAAAGAUUCUUCCUCAUAUAUCACUCUGGGUGAUGUGCUCUCAGCCGAAACUCUGCUUCUUAGAGCUGCCAAAAAUUUUCCAAUCUCAACAUCAUGCCCGGGCCUAUGGGUAUGCAUACUAUACAUAUCAAUUGGUGCAUUUUCUGGCUCCAGAUCCAUCGAGGCUGUUGCACGGCAACCCCGUUCGUACCUUGUGCAUCUUAGCUGUCUAAACAAUUUUAGUAUUACACUAAUUAAUUAAGAAUAAAAAAAAAAUGACUUAGAAUUCAGAUCAUUUACAAAACACUAUUUCUAACCUUCUAUUGGUGGAGGUAUGGUUUUGAACGUAUGUAUAACCGUUAGCAGCUAAAUAUACUAAAUUUCCUCGAAUACCAGGCACUCUUCUUGACGGAUUGUUCUCAUUGCCUCCUACAACAUCUAAAAUAUUUCCAACUAAUGGAGAUCUAGAUCGAGACCUUCGUUCACGAUGAUCAUCUAAAUGAAUAAAAAAACAUUCUAAAAUGCCUUUUAUAUUGGAGGCUGAUUUUGUAUUUUAAUAAUUGUAAUUGAUUGUUAUGUAAUUUUAAAUUAGCUAAUGUAUUUUUUAAUAAAUAAAAUGUAACCGUUAUUUUAGGUAAUUUAUAAAAUCAAA